AAAAAGGCAAACUGUGGGUUCCCGUGCCAACGUUUGACUGUCCGUCUUAUAUGAAAUUUUUUUAUAAUUAGUAUUUUCAUUGUCGUUAGAUGAUAAAACAUGAUUAAUACUUUAUACUUUAUGUGUGACUUAUCUUUUUAAUUUUUUUAUAACUUUUUCAAAUAAGACGGAACGGUCAAACGUUGGACACGGAAACCAGAGUUUGUCUUUUUU
rfam:Oryza barthii chromosome 6, whole genome shotgun sequence.